AGCCAGUGAUGCGAACGGUACCGGUAAAAUACAUUUCUUUCCCUACAUUCUACACACUCUGAGUGCUACCGCCUGCUACAACUGCUGGUAGAUACAUUUACUCUAGAGAGUGUACCAGCGACGAUGAGAACGGUGAAGGUAAAAAUAUAUUUUGUUCUGCUUCAUUCUACUCUUUCUUAGGUUUACAGCACUCUACAGUAGGCUGGGCGAUACAUUUGCUCAAAGCUACCGCCGCUUUUAAAAAUGUAAUAUAGCUUUCUACCGCCGACGAAAAAAAAGUAUUCUACCGCUGUACUUUACAUUGUUCGCUCAGAAUGGUAGCGCACGUGUUUACAUUGAACGUUAACAAAUGAUUACUAGUUAUUUAAUAUAUAAACAUUAUGUGUUGACGAUUUUUUUGUAUUUUUCAAGACCAGAUUAUAUUUUAUUUAAAUAGUAGAUCGUUUGAUAUUCUUGAUGAUCUUCCCGAAUGGUGUAAUGAAUUAUUUGUUUUCAAGGCCCUUUUUAAAUGAAGUAUUCAAUGCUUUGCUGCAUUGAAACGUACUGAUUAGAUUUUAGCAGAUGAAAAAGUAAACAAAGAGAAACAAUUUACUUUUGUGACCUUAUGAAAUGGUUACGUCGACUUGUCAAUUUUUUUCCCUUCAUUAGCAGUGAACGUUGUUGUUCCUAAAAUCGUUUUUUUUCCAAAGCAAUUCAUGAUCGUGAAAAAUGACUGAUUCAUCGAAAAUAAAGCGUUUUUAUCGGGACAUAGCCAAUGAUUGUUAUAAGUGUGAAGAUGAUUAUAUAAUUUGUAACAUUGAUUCUACUCGAAUCUGCACGUACAAAAAAUUAAGAAGUAGUUAUGAUCCCGGAAAUUUUGUUAAGCAUUUACGAAAUGUGCAUCCGGAAAAGGCUCUGAAAUACGGACUACUGAAGCAAGGAUAUGCACCAGAAAAGAAAAGGAAAAUUCUUAAAACAUCAAUAGCACUCGACAGACAAGCUGUGAUUGAAUCUUUGGUAAAAAUGGUAUCACUUCAUCACUUGCCCCUAUGCGCCGUUGAAUGGGAAGGUUUUCGAGAACUGCUAGAUCCAAUUUGCGAAGCACUUAAAUUUAAAAUCAAUCGAGACAAUAUCUCUCGUCAUAUUGAAUAAUGCGCAACAAAUAUUAGGGAAAAAAUUGCAGCUGAAAUGCAAGGUCGAUUAAUAUGCAUCAAAGUCGACUCUGCGACCCGAUAUGGCCGUCAUGUAGUGGGCAUAAAUGCGCAAUUUAAUAAAGAUGAUACUGUGAUUAUUAGAACCCUAGCAAUGAUGGAAGUUAAAUGUCGCCAGACUGGUAAAAUCCUAAAGUCAAAAAUCGAUGAUGUACUGAUAACGUGCGGAGUCGCACAAGUCAUUCCUAUUGUGUAUUUCGAUGAAGUUUGAGCUUUCCAUACAAAAAAACAUCACUUGUUCGAAAUGCAGAAUCACAUUUUUUACAUUCAAUCAAAACAUUUCGAAAUGCGGAAAAUGGAAAUUUUUCACUCAAUCUAAAAACUUUAAUUCGAUCUAAAUACCAAAAAAAAAAAUUUUUUAUCUUCAUUUAUAUAACGGUUAAAAUUAUUUCACACCGGAGAACGAUUAAAUUAUUAUUUCCGAACGAAGGGCCCUUCUAUUUGAUUCGAAGACUGCGAGAAGCGAUCUAACCACCUCAAAGAUAUCGAUGUUAGUUUCAUUCGAAAUCUUUUGUGACCAUUACUUUUUGGGCUUCCCGAAUAGGAAAACGGUAACCAGUAUAGCCAAGUUCAGUUUACUUGUCCAACCAACAAGCCCUUAAAACAUUCAUUGACUAGUCACACGUGCGAAUACGUGAAAGUCAUCUUCAAAAUAAUGAACGAAAUAGGCAAUGUGCAGCGCCUACCGUAAAGUACAUUUUCUAUCACACUCAUGUACACUUUUCUACAACGGCAAAGUACUUUUUUCUACCGCCACGAGCUACUUUUUUUGUGGUACAGUAGCGCGAACAAGGAGGCAGUAAAAUGUGGAAAAAUAUAAUUUCUACCUACUUCGAACGGCUAUGAUUCCAGCCGUAGUUUUUUACGCGAUACUGCUUCGCACGCGUACUGUAAUAGAAUUUUAGUUUGGAUGCAUCAACGCGGUACAGUAAGAAAAAUUAAAAAAGGUAGAUGUGGGUAAGCAGACUACAGUAAUAAAAAUGGGAGGCAGUUUGCAUCCUUGCU